AAUUAUAUUGGAUUUUUUUACAAGAUUCUUCCAAACAGAACUGCACAUAAUUUUUAUCUCUAGAAAUUGAUCCAGAGACAUUGGAACUAUUUGUUUAAAAUUCAUAAUGAAAUUUUAGCAGACAAAUCAAAGAAAAUAUUUUGGUUGAAGUCUAAUUCAACAUGCAUUAAAUCAUGUGAAUUUUCAUCUUAAAAAUUCAUUGCAACAAAUCUACGAAGAUAAUACUCCAUGCAUUACCAGAAACACGACACCGAUACUGAUACGUCAAUGUCGGUGUCAGUUUCAGACUCCGAUAGUGACACGACACACUUUUUUUUAGAGGUGUCGGUGCUAGAGAGGGAUCCACGUGUCCAGGUCCAAAGCAUCUCAGGGAACUCAGUCCAAAGACGAUAAUUCUCUAUCAAGCAAAAUUUCAAAAUUCAUGCCACUCUUUUGGAUGCUAACAAUGGUAGUAAUACUUUAUAGAGCCCGCAUUUCUAAACUAGUAUGCUCACUGUUGUUAGCAGCGGAGGAGGACGAGGAUUCGGCACUUUUCUUUUCACGACUAGACUUCAUUUCUUGAAUCGGGGGAGCGUUUACGAGGGUCGUUUCCGAGGAAAUACUUUCCGAGAGGCGUCCCUUCAUUUCCCUGUGCUCUUGACACAAGGCACACCAGUGCAGAAAGCAGUGGACACAACAAGGAUCAGCAGGAGAAUUCUGAAGUCAUCAAAAAAGUUACAUGUAAUAGUUAAUAUCGGCCGAUAUUGCAGGUUUUUCUGCUAUUAUCCGCUAUAACAGCGGCACAAAGCGGACGGUAUGGCAAGAUUUUGGGUCUCCGCCAUCGACAGCACUGCCGUCGGUAAUACUCGGAAACAAUAUUUACUAGAACAAAUGAAGAAGAAAUACAACACAUACCUCUAAGUGAUAAUUCUUCUGCAAAGUUUGUCGAACCUGACCGGUGUAUAUGCCACACAUCCACCAAGUAAAAAACAAACCCUCCACAAUGAGAAAUGAUGUUCCUGGAUCAAUCAUACCAUUAAAGAUAGCAGUUGCUGUAGCCAGAGCGAUCCCACCCUCGAUAAAAAUGGCAUGACAAACGCAUGGUGCAUUCCAAGAAGCGUCGUCGUACAAGCUUUCUACAUUGCGGCCAAAUAAAACACAGGGACAAAACAGUCCUGUCAAACCUGCAAUUAAGGUCGAACGAACGGUAACAAAAGGAAGCGAUUUCUUGCUUAGUCAUCAAAGCAACGAAUACUACUAAUACAAAUUCAAAUGACUAGUCCAAUAUUAAAUAAUCAUAUUACAAUCUGAUUCGGGCAAAUUUUGACGGUUUCGUCAUGCAUUAACUUACAACUAUCUCUAUCUUCAGCACAUCCACAGAUCCCAGUCAUCCAAGGCUCAUCAGCAGGAGGUGCAUAGCUUUCUGGAAGUGCCUGUCCACAUUCCAUGCACUUCGGAACCGCCAACUGCGAAGUAUUACAGAAAUUAACCGACUGCUCGCUUACUAACUAAAGGAGCACAAUCACACUUUCUCUCAUCUAUCAGUUUCAUACAAACACAGAUUCAUACAAACAAUAAGAGCUACAUUCGUUGACAUCCAAACAAUAAAACCAGCAAUUAAACCGUACAAAUCAAUUACCUGUAACACUUGUCUGAAUUGUUCGACACGUAUUGUAUCAGUCCUAAGGGUCCGGGUGUCGGUCAACGAUUCAAAAAUUUUGAAGCAAAGAAAAAAAAACAUUCUUUUAAGAUAUUUGUUCGACUUUUCAAACACUGUUGUACAGGUGUAAUAGAAGUGCCGAACACCGACGCGUGUGGAGCAACGCAACACGCCUAAUCCUAGAGGUGUCUUUGCUUCAUAGAAUGUAGUGUUAUUACCCAACAAAGUCCCAAGUGACCGAUUCCAAACACACAAAAAAACAUAGGCAAAUCAAAUGUACAAUAAAUCAUAUACAAACUAUGCCCAUUAAUUCAUGCUCCCACUUAUAUUUGUAACCACACUAUUUAGGAUUUUUUUGCCUCUAAGUCAAUUCAACACAUUGUUACCGCAAUGUCGCACACGGACACUUCAAAUUGAAGGCAGAUCCGGUGUACAAAACACCAGGGACACUGACACACGUCUGUUAUAAUCAGUGUCAUGUCAGGUGUCUGUGUUUGUGUUCGUGUCAGUGUUUCAAGUUGCAUACUCCAAUGUAAUUCACUAAACAUUCUAGAAAUGAAUAAUGAAAAAAACAUGAAAAAAACAUGAAAUUCAAACCUGAGGAACCUCAAUUGGCUGAUUAAGUUCACCAGGGUUGAUAUCUUCAUGAGGUGUCUGAUCUUUAGUCAGCUUCACGUAACGGCUCCGUUCCUCCAUCUGAUCUCUCACACAAACCAAACCCAAAAGACAAAAUGAAAUCAACAAUGGAAUGAAAUGAAUCACAGAAAACUUAGUUUAGAUCUAAAUGAAUACUAGGUUGCAGUGUGGUGGUGGGUCACCUUUGAUCACAGAUUCUAAUGGAAAAUUAAGAUCUGAAAAUGAAGUUUCAAAGUUGGGACAUGGCGUACUAGGAACGGUACGAGAAAAAAAAUCAUUGAAUAUGAACAAAGUUUGUCGAAAAAAAUCAUUGAAUAUCUUUUUUUUUUGGAAAUUAAUAUUUUUUUGGUACAAAGAACAAUUACUAAUUUAAUAAUAUGAUUUUUUAAAUUGUUUAAUUAAAAAUAUUUCAAAAAUAAAGAAUUAUGUUGAAAGUAAUAAAAUUAUAUUCCGAAAAUGGAAAAAAAACUGAAAAACAAAAAUCAAAAUAAAAAAAAUCAAAAAAAUCUGAAAAACAAAAAAUAAUUUAUAUUCUGAAAUUAUAAAAUAUAAUUUUUUUUGAAAAUAAAAAUUAUUUUUUUAUUCUAAAAAUUUGAAAAAAUAAACAGUUUUGAAAAUUAAAAAAAAUCCUGAACAAAAAAAUUAUUUAAAAAAUUUUUUUUUACUAAAAAAAAAAAUUAUUUAGGAAAAAAAUUUCUAAAUACAAUUCUUUCGAAAAAGAACUCCGAAUAUAAUUUUUUCGUAAAUAGAAAAAAAAAGAUUCUAAAUAUUUUUUUAAAAUUAUUUUUUAUGAAAUUUAAAAAAAAAUUAAAAGAAUUUAAAAUAUAAAUUUGAUAUACAAAUAAAAAUUCAACACAUAAUAAAAUUUGGAUACCUAAUAACUAAACUAAAUUAUUAUUAUGAGUAUCGGUUUAUAUUUGGAUAAUAAAAUGGAUACUCACAUUUAUAUUUUAGCAUUUUGUUUGAAUUUUUAAAAGUAAAAUAAUUUGAAUACCAAUUUGAUUAAGAAUAAUCGAUUUUUUUUAUUAUAUCACUCAUUUUUAAUUAUAUAUUAUUAUUUUAUAUUUAAUUUUUUUUAAUAAUAUAUACUAUAAAAACAAUUAAUUAGGUGCAAUGAAAAUAUAUAUGUAAUAAUUGUUAUCACAUGAGAUUAUUGACCCUUUCUUUUGAGUUAUCUUCAAGUGAGCUAAUACAUUCCUUAGCCAAACUUCUUGGAAAAAACAUGAAGCAAGGAUCACACGUUCUACUUCUGUGCUAGACAAUGUGACUAUUGGUUGUUUCAUUAAGGAUCAAAUUGGUUGUUUCAUUAAGGAUCAAAAUAUUGAACCAAGGUCAAUCUUGAAUACAUAUCCUAAAGUGUUUUUUCUAUCAUCAUUAUCAUCUCAGAGUAAGUCCAUCCCAGCAAUUGAAGACCAUUUAUGCAUUUAUGUUUGUACAAGAUGCCAAGAUCCAAUGUGCCUUGUAGGUGCCUUGGGAUUCUUUUAAUAGUUGCUACAUGCAUUUCAGUAGGUACCUUAAGAAGUACAAAGGGGUUAGUUGUCCAAAAACUCAUUUGACAAUAUUAAUUCGGAAGAUGGUCGCGUACGCUCAUGAUGAAAAGUUUCUCAUCCACUAUUUCAAGAUAGUCUUAGUGGGGAAUCAUUGGCAACUAUUUAAUCCCAACAACUAUUUAAUCCCAGGUGUCAUAUGGCCAACAUCCACAUGUAGCAACUAUUUAAUCCCAGCAACCACAACUUCUUGGUCCUCAAUACCAACAACCGUGGGUCGUUCCUCAUGCAAAUCAACAAGCCUAGGGCAGUAAAUAUCAAAAUCAGCAUCAAAGCCAGUGCAUACAUUGAAAUAAUAUGGAAAUAAGGAAUGCUCUAUUGGAUCCAAUUCCUAUGACCUACAUUCAACUUCUGCCACAUCUGGUUCAAAGCUUGUUAGUGGUUCCCAAAUUUAUUAAGCCACAACCACAACAUUCUCGCCUGGGUAUGAUCCCAAUGUGCAAUCUGGAUAUCAUGCUGGAUCAACAGAGUGCUUGACCGAGGAUUGUAACACUUUCAAAGCUAAAGUACAACUGUUGAUUGACAAGAACUACUUGACCCUUCAAGGAGGAAACCUGAUGGUGAACGGAAACCCCAUACUCGAGUGAGUGUCAAGACUACGAGAAGCAUCCUCUGAAGACGAUGAAUCAGACGAAAAGCUUAUUCUUAUAGUUGAUAAUAAUUAUGUUGUCUUUAUCAUUUCCAUUUGCAAUUUCUUUGAUUGUUAAAGUACUAUUUUCUUUGGAGUUUAUUGUUUUUAAAUGGUAAUAUUAAUGAAAUAAGCAUGCAUGUUUUGAAUCAAUCAGUUCGUAUUCACUCUGCACAUAUUCAUUCUUUCCUUUUUCACAAAAAAAAAAGAAAUAUCAAUAUUUCUCCGCUUCACGUUUCUUUAUCAAACUUUUGAUUAAACAAAGACUGGACGGAGAAUGGUGAAAACGAAAUACCCAAAAUUAUUGAUAAGUAUGCUUUCAAAUAAAACUUUAUUGAUGAUAUAAGACAUUGUUUCAAUUCCUAAACACCGAAGAUAUGAGGAAGCUAAUCCCUCGUUAACUCCUUUGAGCCUAGAAGCUGGUGUUUUUUUCUAUAUGAAAAAAAACCUUAAUUUGAACCAGGGGCAGAGUAGUUGUUCAGUUAAUUUGGCUAUGCAUUCAAAUUUAAAAAAAAAACCAUCAAAUUUGAGGUUCAACUGCAUCCUCUCUUCGCACACAAUGUCGAAGAAGUAGUGAGAACCCAAAAGCUCUCAGCGGUUGUUUCUCUUAAACCAUUAAAACUUGGCAGUCACAACCCUUUCAAUAAAAACCAAGUGAACAAAUGUCAUACAAUUUGUUCCCAUAAAUAAAUAAAUAAAAUGGGAAAAAGAAAGCCAUUUAAGUCGAAUAUGUGGAUUCUCGGGGAUCCGUUCUGACUUUUCACCAAUUACUCAAUAUAAGGAAUUUGGUUUAUGAGCAUUCAUGGAUGAUCUUACACUAGUGUCAUCAAAUAUUUUAUUAGUGACUCUCUAUUAACUAUCACUUCGAGAAUGUCUCUCUAAGAUUGGUUCAUUGGUUCAUGUGAUGAAGUAGAAAGUGUCUUGUUGACGAGGUGAGUAUUACUUUUUUUUUCCUGGGUUUGUUUGAGGAAAAUGUUUGGGUUUUUAUCUAAAGGAAAGGAAAUAAAAAACGCAUCGGGUGUGCCAUUAAUCUUAAUUAGACCAAGAAGAAUGGUUCCUUAGGAAAACCAAUGGAGAAACAACUAUGUGGGUUGAUUAGGCGAAUAGAUCGUAUCUGCAAACAUUUGACGCUCAAGUUGUUGAACAUAUAUGAGAAGUUAUAUAUUCAUGGGAUAUAAUUGUCUGAAUUCCAAACUCUUAUAUAGGUGAUGUGUGGAGACCAAAGUUAUGACUAGAAUCAUAAUCGUUGAGCAAUUAUGUGAUCAUUAACUCGUGUUUGGUUUUUUGUAUGCACAUUUGUUUUCAAUGGACCGAUGGAGGCAAUGAGGAUAUCAAUUCUUUAUAUCUAAUGUUACAGGUUUAUUUCCUGAUGGAUUGGGCUCCAUUCUAGUCCAUAAUAUUUAAAUCAACUAAUAGAAGUUAUUGAGCUGCUUAAUGACACCUUAUCAUCAUGUAAUUUUAGUAAGAAUUUUCAUAUGUUUUUAGCAAUUUUUAGUAUAUUAUGGCUGAGUUUCAUGAAGAAAUAGGAAGAAAGCAAAGAAGUUGAAGAAACAAGGUGAAACUUAGAAAAUAUGAAGAAUUUUUGGGGCAAAAAUAGAAUCAGCCACCGGAAAAAUUGUGUCCUAAAUCAUGGCACGAUGUUGCAUUAAUUACUCAUAUCGUGGCAGGAUCCCACAUUAAUUACUCAGAUCGUGGUACGAUGGAAAGGCACCAUGGCACGAUUUAUGCAUUUUUAUGACGCGUUUAAAAGCCAAAAAUGCAAGUUUUACAAGGCGGCAUUCGGGUACGAUUUUUGAUGUAGUUUUGAUGGCGGAAGAACACAUUGGAGUUUCUGAAUGAAGGAUUUUCAUCAUUUGAAGACCAAUUUCUUAUCGAAAAAUCAUGUAUCAUUUCUAUAUCUCUAUUGUAUGUAUUAUGCUACCAUGAGUUUCUGAUUUCUCUUUUGAUUAUGUUUUAGGAGAUAACCUUUUGUUUGAUCUAUUGAGACAUAUGAUCUGUUUAUGUAUUAUUUGCUUAAAUUGAUAUUGCAUGUUUAUUUAGUUAUUUUCUUGUGCAUUGCUUAUUUGUUUUGCAUGUGUUGACGAGCACAUAGAUUGAAUAUAGGAUUUUAGGGAUUAUUGACCUUAACCCUAUGCAUGAUCUACAUUAAUUGUUCGUCGUAGUAAUUGAUUUAGAAUAAACAAUUCAAAGUCGUGACUUGUGAAUUAACGUACUAUUUUUUCCUAAUUUAACUUUGAACAUGCCCAAAGAGUUAGGGAGUUGUCUUAUAAGUUAAUGAGUUAUACAUAAGAGAUUGGGUAUAACAGUUGUGUUAGAUAGAUAGUUGUUUUCAUGCGAGAUUAAUUUAAAAGCAAAUAAACGUCGUCAUCAGCAGUGAGAUUUAAGAGAUUCAAAUAAAAUGUAAUCACAUUUUAAUCUAAUAUUUUCUAAUACUUAUUUACCCUUUAUUUUAACUCAAAACAUUCGGGCACCCCAAUUGUUACCUUCAUGUUACAAUUGUUUUGUUAAAAUACAAUAAUUUUUGUUAUUUGUAACGUAUUUUUAGUACAUUUGCUAAAAAUCCAACACAUGCCAAAUUUUUUACCCAAAUAAUCACAUUUCCCAACUCUAAUUCCAAACUAACCAUUUUCCCCUCAUUAUUUUCAAUCUACCCAUCUUUCAAACAAAUAAAAAAUCUAACUUGUACAAGGGGUGCCAAUAGAAAUAAACCCCCUCUUGAAAUUGUAAGGGGGUGCAAAUUGAAAGAAAGCCCCUCCCUCACUACUACAAAAUAUACCUUUGAAAACACCGUAUCACAAUGGCCGUUUAAAAAAUCAUAGUAGUAUCUCAUUUUUGUUCGCCUGAAUUUUUUAUUAUUUUAUUGAAAUACAUUUCAUCACGGUCCUUAAUAACAACCGUUGUGAUAAAUAAAAGGUCACUUGUUUCGAUUCUCAUAACCAACAUUUUUUAAAAAAAAUUCGUUACAAAAAAGGUUUGUCAUUAUAGUCUAAUAAAUAUAUUAAAAUAAUACUCACGCUUUAUUAUGGAUUUUGUUAACAACCGUGGUGAUAAGUUUUACAUAUAUAUAUAUAUAAGCGAAGUUAUCAAACUUUUUUGCACAAAAUAGUCUUCACUCUCAAAACAAAACCCUAACAUUUCCCUCUUCCACAGGAAGCGAACUCGUCCUCAUUAGCUUCUUCCUCUCAACAUGAACCAAAAUUUUGAAGAUUUAUCUAACCAAUCUAGUGGGAGCAUACCUAUCAAAGAAAUUGAGUUUCCUAAGGAUGUUGGUGAUAUGAUUGAUUCUUAGUUAAAUAAGGCCAAGGAAGUAGUAGAUGUUAGGAAUAACAUCACCAUUGUUGAACCUUCUGGUGGGACACCUGGAACUAAGAAGAUAACGAUCACCAAUUUGAAUCCUGAGAAAAUAAGAAAGAUAGAAGUUGUUGUUGAAGAGCUAAUGAAAUUAAGUGAUACCAAGUCAAAUGAAUAUUGGGAUAACUUCUUAGAUUCAAUUAGGCAUGAAGUUUGCAGACUUCAUUGAUAAAGAGAGCUUCUGGUCCUGAAGAUUUAAGUUUUUCUUUCAGUUUAAUGACCCUUGUAUCUGAAUAUAUUUUAUUUAUAUUUAUAAAGGCUCUAUAGCCUCAUUGAAAUUAUGUACAAUAACAAAUCUAAUGCUAGUUUUUCUUCUCAUAUUUUGGUUGUAUAUGAGCUAAGAUACUAAGGACUUGAUAACAACCGCCUGAGUUUUAUUUUAUUGAAAUACAUUUUAUCACAGAUCUUUAUAACAACUGUUGUGAAAGACAUUUUAUUAUUUUAUAUGUUAUUGAAAUAUAUUAAUAUUAAAAUGCCUAUUACCACUAUUAUUAUAAGAAAAUGCUGUGAAUAGUACUUACAUUUUAUUACGAGUUUUGUUAACAGUCGUGGUGAUAAGUUAUACACACAUAUAUAAGUGAAGUUAUCAAGCUUUCGCCUAGAAUAGUCAUCACUCUCUAAACAAAACCCUAACAUCUCUCUCUUCCACAUGCAACGAACUCGUCCUCAUAAGCUUCUCCAUACUAAAAGAUACUCAAGUUCAUACAUUUUAUCAAUCUUCUUCUUCUUCAUAAGCUUCCUUUCGUGUUAUUCAUACACUUUCUUCCAUUUUUCUGUGCAUAGGUUCUUCCAUUUUUCUUUGUUUUUCAUACGUUUUUAUUUGGCAUGAUUUUUGUGUUUUCAUUUGGCAGAAAGCUUAGGGUUUAUGAUUUCCAUUUUGCAUGAAUUUCGUGUUUUUUGGUUAUCUCUACUUGAGUCUCUGUUAUUGAAAUGGAUCUCAAUUACCAUAUAUGUUACAUGUAUGACACUAGUUCUUAAAAAUCUAUAUUCAAUAGAGAUAUCAGUGUAUUAGACAUUACUUAGGUUUCCAUUUAUGUUAACUUUGUUGUUAAUGUCAUGCUAGUUUAUGUUUCCAAAUCAGGUUAUCAUGUUGUUUGUAGGAUUACAAUCGCAUGCCAAUUUAUGUUUUCAAAUUGGGUUAAUAUGAUAAUAUACAUUUUGACUUGUAGGUGUGAUUCACAAAUUGUUUGUGUUGCAAUGAAGAAAAAAUACAAGGAGGACGAAGGUAAUGUGAAAGCGACAUACUUGUGUGAAAUACCUAGAUCGAUGGGCACAAGUUUGCCGCUCUCACUUCAGCUUCAUCCUUCUUUUAUUGUGGAUUCCGUUCUGAGACAAGUAGAUCAUUUAUUUGUCUUCAUUCGCCACGAAUGUUUCCAAUAAAAGGUAUGUUUCUGAAACAUUUAUGAGUUGAUAUGUUAUUGUUGUUCAAAAUGUUUGCCUUGUUUUUCAAUAUCAGUCGAGUUUAUUAUAUCAUAUAUAGAUUACUUGUUUCACUAACCCCUCACUAAACAUGCAUUCAUUUAAAUUGAUUUAGAAAAUGAUAUUCUGAAAAUUAUGUUAUAUUUGAAAAUCAACUUAGAUGCAUCAAUAUUUUUCGAAUUUCAUGCAUCUUGUAAUUCAUCUCUGGUUCUUUAACAUAUAGAAUUUGGUUCAACGCCCCAAGUUCUUCUAAGCAACGGUUCAUUUUCUUCUAUUUAUAUUGCAAAACAUCAAAUUUGUUGAGAAAUUUUGAAUCAUCUUCAUCAUUGUCCUCAUAAUAAUCAUCAUCCUCGAUUAAAAUAAUGAUGAUGAUGACUCGAAAUUAGUCAAUAAAUUGAUGCUUUGCCAAAUAAACUAUAAGAGAAUAAACAUUGCUUUGAGGAACUUAGGGUAUUGAACCAAAUUCUAUAUGUUAAAGAGGGAGAGAUGAAUUAUAAUAUGCAUGCAAUUCGAAAAACAGUGGAGCGUCUAAGUUAUUUUUCAAGAAUAAUUUAAUUUUUCAGAUUAUUAUCUUCUAAAUUAAUUUGAAUGGUUCUAUAUGUUUAUUGAGGAUAAGGAAAAAUAAGCAAUCCACAUAUUAUAUAAUAAACUCAUAUAUAUACCACCACGGUGGAAAUAUAUAAUCGUAGUAAAAUGUUAAAUUUAUUCACGCUUUAAUUAAAUUGUUGUUGCUGGGUUUCGAACUCAUACAUAUAUAUAUAUAUAUAUUAUAUAUUAUAAUAAUAUUAUAUAUAUAUAUAUAUAUUAUAUAUAUAUAUUAUAUAUAUAUAUAUAUAUAUAUAUAUCACAACGGUUAUUUAAUAUAAUCGUUGUGAUAGCUAGCACCCUAUCUAGUUUAUCACAACGAUUAGACGUCCGUGGUGAAAAAGACCAUACAUAUAAACACCCUUUACCUUGCAACGGUUGAUUAGUCGUGAUGAUAUGCAUAUUCCAACUGUUUUGAGAGAGAUUUAUUGUAGUAUGUCUUGAAUUUAUAAGAGUGCGACACCAAUAGAAGGAAAACUCCCUCUUAUUGAAUUAUUUAUUUAAUUUUUAAUAAUAUAUUACAAGGAUGCGUCAAUUGGAGGAAAACCCCGUUUAUCUUGUUCUACGGAGACGCUAGUAGGAAUAUCGUCUUUUUUAUAAGUUGAUUAUUUUUAUUUGAAAAAUGAAUAGAAUGAAAAUAAUAGAGAAUGGUGGUUAAUUUAGAAUUAAAAUUAGAAAUAUGGUUAUUUGGUAAUAAACUCACACAUACAAACUAAAUUUAUAAAAAUCUAUCACCCUAAAAUGUGGUAUGAUGUCAUAUCUUAAGUCCUUAUGCAUUUAUUGCUUGUCACAAUAUUCAAAUUGGGAGUGACAACCCAACUAAUUGGUGUACAAAGAUUAUUUCAAAGUCAACAAGUCAACUCCAAUGUUUCCAACCAAGAAAAAGCAUAUUGGAGUAUCAUUUGGUGUUAGACUUAGACUUUUAAAUGCAUAAUAAUCUCUUCUUCCAUAAUCACCACUCACUCUAACUAAGUUUAUAUUUAAACAUAUCUUCCUUUCUUGUUCUUCAUCAUGUUCUAACACUCUAUUUCAUUCAAUAAUGUCUACACCAGCAGAGUACUACCGGUCUCUACCACCUGUGAGCAAGACCUAUGGAGUAGCAUGUUUGAUGACCACAGCUGCUUAUUAUCUCAAUCUUUAUGAUGCAAGAAGCAUAGCACUGUUUUAUGGCUUAGUGUUUAAACGCUUUCAGGUUUGUUUGUAAUCCAAAAAUAUUCAUCAUCCUUAAUUAACCAUUGAUCUAUAUUCUAUACCAUUCUAACUUUUCUUUGUUUGUUACAGAUUUGGAGGAUUAUCACAAAUUUCUUCUUUCUUGGACCAUUUUCAUUUCCAUUUGCAGUUCGUCUCAUAAUGAUGUAAAUAUAUUCUUUGACUUAUACAUCUCCGACUGUAUAGCGGUUAUAGUUCUAUAUUACUGAUACCGAAGGAAUUAGGGUUUAUAAUGUUACGAAACUUAUAUAAAUAUUACGUAUAAAUUACCAUAAUAAUGGUUUGAAUAUUGAAUUUUAUAGAGCAAAAUAUGGUGUUUCAUUGGAAAGAGGGCCAUUUGAUAAAAGAACUGCAGAUUAUGUUUGGAUGUUGAUAUUUGGUGCACUCUCACUUCUGGUAUAUAUGUUCCAACAAAUACAGUUUUUAUUUAACUUUUGUACAUUUGUUGAUUUUUUUUAUGUUCCUAUUACUUAGUUUGAUUCUGUUGUUAGGUGAUGAGUGUUGUGCCAUAUUUAUGGUCUCCAUUCAUGGGAGUUUCUUUAGUUUUCAUGAUUGUCUAUGUUUGGAGCCGCGAAUUUCCGAAUGCACGAAUCAACAUUUAUGGUUUAGUAUCAUUGAAGGUAUCAUGAAAUUCUACGAAGCACCGACAUUUCAGACUCUGAAAAAAUGCAUGUUCAUGCAUGUGUCAGACACCAACACUAACACGUGUGAUUGUCUAUUUUUUUCAUUUUUGUUAUGUAGGGUUUUUACCUUCCAUGGGCUAUGCUAGGUCUUGAUUUGAUAUUUGGAAACCCUUUGAAGCCAGACAUUCUAGGAAUGCUUGCAGGACACUUGUAUUACUUCUUAACAGUUCUUCAUCCUCUUGCUGGCGGAAAGUUCAAGUUCAACACUCCUCUUUUAGUGUAUCCUUUUCUUUUAUAUAUCAACUUGCAUUGGUCACAACAAUGAUUAUAACAAAUUUUGUACAUGACAUUUUUUUUGUCGGUAGACGAAUAUAGUAAUAACUACUAAAAAUCCACAUAUAUAACCGUGAAUACUAGAAUUAUAACUCUGAUGAUGACGUCCAACCUAUUGCCAGUUAAAUUAGGAUUUGCGGACUUGUACGUGGCAUAUGCUCUAGGGAAAAAGUUCAUAAUAGUCCUUAACUUAUGUAAACUAGUCACAAAGUAGUGGCAUAUUGGGGAGAAGGUACUCAAAUGAAUGCACCAGUGCAAUCUAAUCCUUCAGCUGGAAUUGUGUUUAGAGGAAGAAGCAAUCGUCUUGGUGGAACUCAAACAACAACGAGAAGCACUUCUCAUGAAACAAGUGGCAAUGAUUCAUCUUCUUCUUCUUCCACUCGGCAGCAGAAUCAGGGUGAUGGAGUUGCUUUUCGCGGAAAAAGUUAUCGCUUAAAUGGAUGAUAUUGUAUAUCAUAUGAUGUUUUAAAAACAAUGCUGAAACUGGACGGUUUAAUCGGUUAAACUGUAUAUGAAUGGUGUAACUUGAUUCGAGUUUCGUCUCGUUGGCUCGAUGUCUGAUUUAGCUUUAAAGUAGGUUUAUGGUUUUAUACUAGUUAGUAUGUUACUUUAUGUACUCAAGACCAUAAAUAACAUAUGCUAUAGAGAACCAUUUCAUGAAUAGAAGAUGAUGCAUAGCCAGAAGCAGUUUUCUUAAAUAAACCCUCAACACACAACCGUGCAUAUUUCCUACGUUGUUGCAUCAAAAUGUUCUUAUCAACUUUAACGUUUGUACCAAUUCUAUUACCAAUAAAAGUUAAGACUUUCGAAUAUAAAUAUUAUAUUGGCAAUCUAGAAAUUAAAACUCAAAUAUGAGUUUUCUCUAUAGUAUCACUUGCCGAAUAAAAAAAAAUUGCGCCUUAACAAUUAGGUAGUGAUCAUAGAUAAACUAAGUUCAUCCAUGAUCACAACAUUAUGAUCUUCAUUAUGGGAGAAGAUAACUAGAUAGUAAUCAUUGUUCAAAUCAAGAUAGGGUGAACUCUGGACACACAUAUCUUCCUUCAACAUGUUCUUCCACCUUCAUGUCUUUCAUAUGAAGGAGAAUUGCGAUCCAAAACGCAUCGGAAAUUAAAAUUUUCUCCUUUAGAAAUCCUUACGAAUGGUCAUGAUCAGUGAUAGAAUAUUUACCUCUUGUGACGAUUGAAACCUUUCGUGCAGAUCUCGUGUGACGAUCAAAACCUUUGAUGCAGAUCCACGGAGCGAUCACGAACGUUGAACGAUGACAACGUCUCUACUCAGUCCACACGAACGGGUUCCUUCAAUCUCAGUGCUAGCUGUUGCGAAUGAAGGUUUUGAGUGUGUGAGAGAGAGAGAGAGAGAGAGAGAGAGAGAGAGAGAGAGAGAGACAGACAGAAAACGAAAAUAAUGCAACCGCAAUGAAUGCUUCUGCACAAGGGUUCUAUUUAUAGAACCACUUGUGUGGGCUUCAAGCUAAAAAGCCCACUUAAGUGUAUUUUGGCCCAUAUCUUAUAAUAUGCCCAAAAUCCACUUCAACCCAUGGUACCUUAACAUAUUUCGUAUUCUACUCAAGUACACCGUACCUACGAUGUUCUAUAAUUCACUUAAGGGCACCGUACCUUACGUAUUCCUUAAGUUACUCUAUCUCUCAUCAAUCCGUCCUUUGUGUGUGACCCUGUAGGUUUUCGUGACGUUGGCAAUUAUAUUAAAUCACACAUUUAACAUAAUAAACAGUGAGCGGUAUCUAGCAACACAUCACUGCUACCAAGACACGAAAAUGUCAUGUGAUCUGACAAACCUUCUGUGAUAAUACUUAUGUGUAUAAUACCCUUUUGCCCUUAUGUCUAUAUUGAACACAAGGCAUAGACCGUGUCAUCCUUGUCCAGUUCAAUAUUGGGCCCAUAGACAUUUAUCCUGUUAUGCAGGAUGGACAAUUUCAUCUAGGUCACUCAUGUCCCUCAACAUGCUUCGUGGAGUAUCCAUCAACUGUCUUUAUGGUUAUCCAGUUACGGACAAUGUUGGAUCAACAAUAAAGCACUCGACUCCACAUCUAGGGUCCAUAGUGGUUUCAGGUCGAAGAGUGGUAAACCCAUUAUCACCAUGAAUAACUUAUGACACUUUGCAUAACUUUCUAUAUAGUAUCUCAUAGCGGGUCAAUCCGGUAUAAAUAUUACUCCUAAUAUUCAUACCUAUGUUUAAGACUUGAUAACUCUUUAUCCAUGAUCCAUGAGAUGUGAUCAUCAGUCUACAAACAUAAUAGUCUUAAUGCUUUAAUUUAAUCCACUCACAACUAAAAGCUCGACUACAGAUACUUUAAGAAUAGUGUCCUUAUGUUUAAUGUGAUCUCAUGAUUAAGUCAUACUUGAUACAUUAAACAGAUUAGCUAUUCUAGGGACUUUAUUAAACAAACGUAAUAAAGAAAAGACCUUUUAUUAUUAAUAAAUAAUUCGAUACAAGUACCAAAAGCAUUGGCCUCUAGGGCUUACACCAACAUCAUAUCCUCCAAAUCAUCCCCCAUUGGUAUUUCUUUUUUUUUCUUUCUGAAUCACUCAUUUCUACUAGUUACAAGUUUUUUAUCCAAAUGAUCAUACCCUUAUAAGAUUUCUCUUGUAUUAGAACAACUUUUUUAGAUGCUUCUUAUGAUAUCCUCUCUUCGGUCACCGUUUUUCCCACCACAAUACUAUAUAGUCUUUGGGGAAGGAAGAUUGUGUUGAGAAUGUUGAAUUUAAGACUUCACAAAUAAGAGGGUGGAGUAAUUUGUGUGGUUUGGAAAAACUUGGAUUUGAAAUAUUUUGAGAAAUAAUAUCAGAGCCUAAAAACUUUUCAAAACCUUAGCAGUGGAAAAAACAAACAGCAUAAGAUAAAUUGUGAAAUUUAAAGGAGUUUAAGGAAAAGAGACGAACACCACAAUGUAUAGAGGUUCGCUCAAAAAACAAAAAGAUCUACUUUUCUCCCAAAGAAUUAAUCAUGAGAGUUUCCAAUAAUAAUUGAGAGUUUAGUAGGAAAGACUCGCGAACCCCCCUAUACAAGAAAAUGAUGGUUGACAUCGAACCAAAUAAUAUAAGACGAUAGAUUUAUCUUGUGCGUCUUCUCUUGAUGAAUUGAAGUUGUUAGUCUUCUUCUCCACAAAUGGUAGAUUGAAGCGGUUAGUCUUCUUUCCACGGGAUGAGCUCACGAACCUUAAUCCUUGAUUUUAUACGGGAUAACCAAUAACCUAUGAGAUUUUAUAUCGGGUUGAUCUCAAACCUCCCAAACUUUUAUACGGGCUGAACUUUGAUGAAAGCUUUUAUACGAGAUGAACUUUCGAACCUAAUCUUGAUUUUAUACGUGCUGACCAAGAACCUAAGAUAUUUUAUAUCAGGUUAAUCUCGAACAUAAGUCGGAACUAAAUCACAUAAUCUCAACCCAAAGUUUUUAACGAGUUUACCUUCUAACCAAAAUAAAUUCCUAAUUGGACAGUAUUCAACCAAGGUGUAUACAAGAUAUUUCCUUGGUGAAUUUACAGUUCUAUCCUUUUCAGAAUAACAAUUAUCUUCUCACUCACAAAAGGACUUUUCUCACAAAAGCACUUAGGCGAAAACAUUAGUGAGAGAAAGUUAAACAAAACUUUAGAGAGAGAUGAAGAGUGAGAAAGGUGUGUCAAACAGGAUUCUGAAUGUUAUGAAAUGAGAAAAAGAACCUCUAUUUAUAGGCCAGAGGUAGUCUCAAAAAGGAAUUUUCAAUAAAUACAUUUUAUCACUUUCCAAUCGAUUGGCAUGUUUUCACAAUCAAUUCGAAGCUUGAAAUACAAGCGAUUGUAAGUUUAAAUAUAGGAAAGAAAGGAUAUUUAGCCAUUGCACAUUAUGAAGGCGAUGUCCCAAUUACUUGCGGUUCAAUUUCGAACUAAUUCAAUUGAUUUGGAAAAUGCUUCAAUCGAUUGGAGAAGUCAAAAUUCCUCCUAUAGCUAGUUUGACAAUUCCUAAUUCAUCUGACAUAACUUCAAGAAAUUUUUAAGGAUAUUUUUUUCGGUAAAAACUAAUUUGAAAAAUAUUUUUGUGUUUGUGCUUUUCGCCAUGCGCUUUUACGAUAAAUCCCUUUUACUUUACAAUUCAUUCACUCACUACUAAAAUAGAAGGUAUCAUACUACUUCAAGACUUUUCCAUAUGAUUUCUCUUAUGUGAGCACUUGCAUGAGUAGCUUGAAGGGAGUUGGAAUAGUGAAUGUAUGAUUUAAUAGGAGUGAAUGGGAAAGAGAGUCAAAGUUGAAUUCGUUACCUUCAAUAUCAUUUUGAUCAUAAUCUUAUUCUAUGAAAAGUAUGUUGCAAACUUCAGAGAAGUCUUAAAGAGAUAGGGUGAUUGGAUGUUUCUUUACCUCGGAGUUGAUGAUUCCAUCUGUGCAUGAGAUAUUUGCGUAGAACAUUCGUACCAAUUUUGGGUAUCUCUCUUGGGGUUUCUCAAGAAUAAAAUUCUUCAGCUCUGCAGCAGUGAAUGAUUCAAUGAAUGGGCAAUUUUUGAAGAGGUCUUCAUCUAGGUAGUAAGAGGGGAAGAUUUCUUUAAUUGGAGUAGUAAAGAUUGUAGUUGGUUUCUUGAGCUUGAAAUGUGAAAUGUUUGGAGAAAUAUGAGGAUGAAGGUUGAGAAGAAUGGGUUCUCUUUGAGGCAAUGUUGAAGUGAUGAUGAUGAGUGAGCGAUCUAAUAUGUUUCUAAUGUAAUGAAUAAUUUGAAAAAUGAUGUGAUGCGAAGAAUGGGAAGUUACCUAUAUUUAUAGCUUAUGUCUAAUCAAUAUGCCAAUCGAUUAUAAACGAUAAAAAUUAACUUUAUCCAUUGCAAGUGUUUGUUACCAUAAUUAGUCACCCAACUAGUCGUUGUGGUGACCUCCAACUUUCGAAAUUUUGAAUUUUUUAGCGUUCCAAUCGAUGUGUCAAUCAAUUGUUUUGGCCUAACUUAGCAUAUUUUCUUUUGGGCUUUGGGUUUAGUACCACUGUUUGAUUUUUAUUUUCACCUCUUGUAAUGACAUGCCAAAAUGCUUGCUUUGUGGGUUAGAAAAUAAUUUUAUUUAGAUGAGUAAAAAAUUAAAGAUAUUAUUUUAAGGGGUUAAUCAGAUUUUUCUGAUUAUUUCAAUCUUAAAAUAAUUUUACCUCUUUUAUCAAGAAUUCUUGAUAAUUAUUUCCCAUGAGGGAAAAUACCAAAUAGUGUGUCCUCCUCUACACAUAUUUGGAAGUGAGAGUUGGUAAAGUUAUAAAAUGAAUAAAUCCAUUACAAAAAAUUCCAUUCAACUGAUCACUUAUGGAUCAUAUUCUUUCUGAUAUAUUCUCAAAUGAUUUUCUUUGAUCACACCGGUUUGUUAUCAUCGUCCAUCCUUGGAUCAAAGACUUUAUAAAUAUUAUAUACUUUAUAAGUGUAUUGUUUGCUUUGCAUAACUUUCCUCUAAUAAUCGUAAAAGCUUCAAGUUGCAAAUCCUACCUGCAAAACACUUAGGUUUCAUCUUUGGUGCCCAUAUCUUCUUGGGCCCAGAUGCAUUAGAUACAGAAGAUCUAAGGUUGUUAUCUUUAGAUAUUUUUAUUUAUCAAAAUAAAAUGAUUCUAGAUUUCCUAAUCUUUUGCAGUGAAUGCAUUUAUAUACGGAAUGUUUCUCUCCCUUUAAAUCCUUGAAUAUUGUAAAGAGAAUCUCUUACUAGAUAAUAUUGGGUCAAACUUCUUUUUCCCUUUUGUAAAUUUUCCUAUAGUUUCUCAUGAUAUAGCACUUUCUUUUUUUAAUUUUUUUUAACAUAAAAAGUUGAGCAUAAGAGGGUCUGAUACCUGAAAUAGUAUCUUCCUCAUAGGGUGUUAUUGGACGAAUUUCAUCUUAUUUGUUGAAAGAAGAUUCUUUUAUAUUUCUCCAUGAGGUUGAUGUGUAUCCUCCUCUUCUUCAUUUGAAUGUUGAAGAAACUUAAUUAUCUUGUUUAUUCUUUGAACAAAAAGAUCCUUCAUUUGAAUAUUUCGAAGAUCGUUCAACUACUGAGUAUGUUUUUUCGAAGGACUGCAUAGGAGUUGUAUGAUAGGAGUAAGAUGAUGAUGAUGAUUCUUCAGUUUAGAUUUCUUCAUCUUUAAGUAGUUGAACUGGUUUUUUCAACUAUUCCUUCUUUCUUGAUUCUACUUGAAAUUCAUGAAGGCUCUCAUCUAUUGAUUUAAGAGUUGGAAAAAAUGUUACAAUUUCUUAAUUGUUAGAUUUUUGUUAGAGAUACAGUUUCCAACAAAAAAAUUAAUAUUUCUAAAUAUAGAAAAACAUCCAUGGAUAGUAUCUAUAUAUUCUUUGUCUCGUGUGUUCAUCUUCUCUCGUUCGAUACUUGGAGAACCUUCAUAUAUCACAUCAAGAGUAUCUCAUAUUUCCUUGGCGGUUUUACAAUGACGAACAUCAUGAAGUUUGAAGUCAUCUAGAGAUAUUAUUAUAAAGUUAUUUGAUUUAAGAUCUAUCUUUAUCUUUAUCUUUUCCUCUUUCAUCCAAAGGGAAUAAGGUUUAUCUACUGCUGCAUCAUUUACUUGAUGAGUAGGAUAGAUUGGACCAUUCACUUUUGUUUUUCAUAAACUAUGGUUUAAAUUUUGAAAAGAUUUUAAGCUUGGAUUGCCAUAUAUUAAAUAUGAUAUUAUCAAAAAGUGGUGGUGUAUUUUGAAAAAGAUCUCUUUUCGGAAGUAAUCUUUCUCCUGAGAAGAUUAGUCCUUAAAUAGGAGUUAGACUCAGAUACCACUUACUGGACUUGAGACUUCACACAAGGGGAGGGGGGAUUGUGUGGUUUGAAAAAAACAUGCUUUUGAAAUACUUCGGGAAAUAAAAUUAGAGUUUUAAAACAUUUUCAAAACCUUAGUAGUGGAAAAAAUAAACAACAGAAAAUAAAUUGCAGAAUUUAAGGGGAAUAGAUGAACACCGUAAUGUAUAGAUAUUCUGUAAAAAAAAAACAUACUUCUCAGCCCAAGAAUUGAUCUUUAAAUUUUCCAAUAAUAAUUAAGAUUUUUUAGUAGGAAAUACUCAUGGACUUCCUUAUAUAAGGAAAUGAUGGUAGACCUCCAACCAAAUAAUACAAGACGAUAUAUUGUUCUUGUGCAUCUUCUCUUGGGGAAUUGAAGUUGUUAGUCUUCAUCUCCACAAAUUGUAGAUUGAAGCGGUAGUUUCUUUUCAACGAAGUUUGUAAGAUUUUAGACGGACUGAGCUCACGAACCUUAAUCAUUAUUUUUAUACGGGAUAACCAAUAAGUUGUGAGAUUUUAUAUCGCCCUGAUCGUGAACCUUCCAAGCUUUUAUAUCGGUUGAGCUUGAACCUGAUGAAAGCUUUUAUAUGGGAUGAAAUUUUAAACCUAGUCUUGGUUUUGUAUGAGUUGACCAAGAACCUAUGAUAUUUUAUAUCGGGUUAAUCUCAAACCUAAGUUGGAAUUGAAUCACACAAUCCAAACUCAAAGCUUUUAACGGAUUUAGAUUCUAACCCAAAUAAAUUUCUAAUUGGACAAUAUUCAACCAAUGUUCAUACAAGAUACUCCCUUUUUGAAUUUACAAUUCUACCAUUUCCAAAAUUAUAAUUAUCUUCUAACGUACAACAUGACUUUUCUUACAAAAACAUUUAGGCUAGGACAUUAGUGGGAAGAGGGGGGGCGGGGGGGGGGGGGGUAUCAAAACACGCUUCUGGAUGUUUUGAAAUGAGAAAAGGAACCUCUAUUUAUAAGUCACUACAAGAAUACUUUGUGCAGCCACGUGAUUUAGUGACGUGAAAUGCACGUGGCAAAAAAUGCCAAUUACGACGUGAAUUUCACGUGGCUAAAAGAAAAAUAUAAUAAAAAAAUGGAAUGACAACUUUUCAGGUGGGGGGAAAUGAAAAUAAUUAAAAUUGGUAGUGACAUGCAGAUCACGUCGCUAUUUUAAAUUUAAAAUUCAAAUAAUGUUUGUGAAAUGUAAUUCACGUCGCAACUAGUGACGUGCCUGUACGUGGUCAGUGGGUACAGAUGACCGUUGAAGGCUUUGUGGCGUGUAAAUCACGUCGCAAAUAGCGACGUGCUGAUCACGUGGGUACAUGUGACCGUUGAAUGGUUUGUGGCGUGUAAAUCACGUCGCAAAUAGCGACGUGUUACCACGUGGGAACAUUUCCUUUACCUUCCCUCUUCUCUCCCUCUUCCCUUCACCGUUUCAUUCUUCUUCUUCUUCGUUUCCUCUUCCCUUCCACCUUCUGCAGACCCAUUUCUCUCCCUAAACCCAUUUUCCCCUUCAACCCAUUUCUCUCCUUCAAGCUUCAAGAACUUCAAAUCCAUUUCUCUCCUUAAAGGUAAAUACUUUUAUUAUUUUCUAAACCCAUUUCUGUUUAAUAUAAUGAAUUUUAUUUUAAUUUAUGUAUUUUUUUUAAGAAAUAGCUAAGAGUGAAUUAUUCAUUCAAGAAUUUGGAGCAAACAGAUUCAAAGUCUUCAUCAAGGUAUAUUCAAAAUUGUGAAAUUUAAUUUUUUUUUUUAAUUAUUUUCAGAUUAGUUAAAUGUAUUGAGUUUGGACUGGAUUAUGUGUUGUACUUAUUAUGUAUUAAAAUCGAAUUUGUUUGGACUGGAUUUUGUUUUGUGCACAUUAUGUAUUAAAAUAGAAUUUUUUUAGAAAUUUAAGUAUUAUAUAUUUAGAAUUUGUUUAGAAUUUGUUUAUAAAACAUAUACCCUAAUGUAUUAUUAAAACAGAAUUUGUUUAGAAUUGUUUAGAAAUAUAAUAUAUAAUAGUUUUAAAAAACAGAAUAUUUAAUGUAUUAUAUAUUUAAUGUAUUAUACAAAAAAAACAGAAUAUUUUAUGUAUUAAAUUUUUAUAGUUUAGAAAUAGAUUUUAAUAAUAUAUAUUAAUACCAAUACUAUCCUCUCUAUUAAUACCCUAUUUAUAAAAUCAUUUUUAAUUAUUUUCUAGAGAAAUUAUAAAUUUCAAAAGAAAUCAUGUCAAGCUUGGAAUAUUAAAACUUUGAUAUUACUUUGUUUAGAAACUAUUUAAUGCUUUAUAUAUGUGCACAUUAUAUUUUUUAGAAAUAUAAUAUAUAAUUUUUUUAAACAAAAUAUUAAAACAGAAUAUAUUUAUAAAAAAAACGAAAAUUUUGUUUAUUAGAAAAAGUAUAUGAUCAUGUCUAAAAAUAGAAGUUGUAUUAUUAUUUAGAUAAUAUGGUUAGUUUAAAAAUAUAAUAGAUUAGUGUUUUGAGUAAAAUUGAUAAGUGUGUAUAUAUAUUAUUUAGAUAACUAAAUAAAUAAGUUGUAUUAUAAUUAUGUUUAAAUAAUGUAUAAAAAACAAAACAUAUUCAUAUAUUAGGGUAUAUGUCUAAAUGUUUUUUUUAAAUAAACACAUAUUAGGGUAUAUGUUUUAAAUAUAUGUUAGUUUAAACAAUAAAGUAUGUAAUAGUUAUAUUAUAUAUUUAUUAAUAGUAUAAUAUAAUUUUUUUAAAUUGUACGUAAUAUUAGUUGGAUGUACGAUAGAACGAUUAGAUAAAUGGACGAUAGAGGAAUAUCACUUUGAAAUUAAAAUAGUAACGAUUUUGUAAAUGGCAGUAUGGAAUAUUUUCAUUACUAUCGUGAGUUGGAUGUACGAUAACGUAUCCAGGAAGACGUGGACUUAAACGAACUUUGAGGAAGGAGUUAAAGGGUUUAUCACAUGGGCUUUCGCUCAAGAAUGUUGUCUAAGCGAAGGAGGAGUAAGAUGUCCUUGUCUAAAAUGUGAAUGUAGACCUAUAAUUAGUGACCGGAGAAGUAGAACGUCAUUUGAAGAGAAGGGGUUUCAUUAAAAAUUACUGGGUUUGGACAUAUAAUGGAGAACAGUUGCCGAGUAAUGUACAAAGGCUACGACUACACAUGCUUCUAGCAGUCGAUCACUAUGGAACACCGGGAAGAAUUUAGUUUGAUCAGUGACAUGGUUGGCGAUGCUUUUGGGGUUAACGUGACUAUGAUAACUCAAGACUUCGAUCAGGAAGAGUUGCCGAAUGAGGAAGCUCAAAAAUUUUAUCAAUGUUGCCAGAAAUGAAUACGCCGUUGUUUGAAGGGUCGGUCAGACUCAAAAUUAUCGAUGUGUGUGAGAUUAUUGGCCGCCAAGUCCAAUUGGAAUGUUCCUGACCAGUGUUUGGAAUUCUUUGCAAAUGAGUGUUGGACGCAACUCCUACGAAGACAACCUUCCCACAGAUUUUUAUGAUGCAAAGAGUUGGUGUCGAAAUUGGGUUUAGGGUAAGAAAGAUUGACUGUUGCACUAAUGGUUGCAUGUUGUUUUUCGAUAAUGAGUUUGUACUAAUGAUGGAUCGUUGGAGGAAUGUAAGUUUUGUAAGAGUCCGAGAUACAAAGUUCGCAGUAAAGCCAUUAACCGUAAGCAAACAUGUGGCAGUGAAGUCCAUGUUUUAUCUGCGAUCAUACCAAGGUUAAAAGAAUGUUUGCUUCAAUGCAUAGUGCAAGUCAAAUGACAUGGCAUCAUACAAACCAAACAAGUUCGGCACAAUGCGACAUCCAUCUGAUGGUGCGCAUGGAAGCACUUCGAUAUGAUACAUCCUGAUUUUGCCAGCAGAACCUAGAAAUGUCAGACUGGACUAUGCUCUGAUGGUUUUACUCCAUAUGUCCAGCGUCUGGAAGUGGAUAUUCUUGUUGGCCAGUUAUUGUUACCCCUUACAACCUCCCUCCUGAGAUGUGCAUGACAAAACAUACAUGUUUUGACUGCCUCAUUCCAGGUCAAAGAGUCCAAAAGCUGGAAUAGAUGUGUAUUUACAACCUUUAAUUGAUGAUUUGAAGAGGUUAUGGAUUGGAGAAUGGACUAUGAUAUAUCUUGCAAACAAAACUUUACUAUGCGAGCAGCCUUGAUGUGGACUAUAAACGACUUUCCCGCAUAUGGCAUGUUGUCCGGUUGGGGACACAUGGAAAAAUGGGAUGCCCGCAUUGCAUGGAACACUCUCAUGCGUUCACGUUGGAAAAAGGGGGAAAAGUUCGUGUUUGACUGUCACCGCAGAUUCCUACCGAAAGAUCAUGUCUUUCGAAUAAAUAAGAAUGACUUCAAAAAGGCAUAAGAGUAACAGACUUGCCUCCCUCGUUUCUCACCCGGUGAAGUAUGGAACCGGUUAGUGAACUGCCAAAAUUCACAGAUUAUGGUAAAGCUUGCAGAUUGAAGAUAUGGGGUACACAUAACUGGACAAAAAGAAGUAUUUUUUGGGAUCUCCCGUAUUGGAAAGAUAUUUGUUGCGACAUAAUCUUGAUGUUAUGCAUAUUGAGAAGAAUUUUUGAUAACGUGUUUAACACAGUGAUGGAUGUUUCAAGGUAAAACAAAGGAUAAUGAGAAGGCUAGAAAGGACAUGGAGAUUUUGUGUUGUAAUCGAAAGAGUUGCGAGUUGAAGGUUAAACCGAAUGGGAAGUUACUAAAACCCAAGGUAAUUACAGUCUAACUUCGAAGAAGCUAAAGCGAUUUGUGUACUGUGUAAUGUUACUUAAUGUACUGUGUAAUGUUACUUAAUGUAGGAUGUAUUACAUGUGUUUAUUGAUUGUAGAUAAAAUGCCGCCCCGAACGAUAGGGUAAGGGUCAGCAGCGCGAGGAUAAGGGUAUGUGAGGCUCCUCAGUCGGCCGUAUGUCCUCCCCCACAGAGUCAGGUAGAGCCCAUGUCUACGACCUCUCAACAUUUUAUGCCACUGCAGUCAUCUAUGGGGUAUCCUCCCCCACAGACUCAGGUAGAUCCCAUGACCAUGGUUCACAGCCUUUUCUCUCCCUACUAUAUCCCAUGGUUAUCCUAUGGCCCAACUUGGAACCCAUCUUUAUUAGCCCAUCUGGGAACCCAUCAUUUAUUAGCCCAUCUGGGAACCCAUCUUUAUUAGCCCAUCUGGGACUUCAUCAUACAUCAGACUGGGGGAUCUAGUUUUCCUCAUCCCUCACAAGGUACCCCACCCUUCAUGCAGUCUGGGAUCUUUCCAGAUCCACACAGGGUACUCUGUCGUCCCAGCAUCCCAAACACACCAUCAUCAUCCACGCAUCAUGGGGGAUCUCGCACCCCACACCCACCACGUGCCACAGAUAUACCCGUGCCUGAGGAGCAGGAGGAGCAGGAUGACCAGGAGCCAGCAGGAUGACCAUGUUUUAGAGCAACCAACUGCAAAUCCCACAGAGUAUGAGAUGAUUGAUGGCAGAUAUUUUAUUGAGCCAUGUGAAAAUCGUAAGUAUCUAAUUUUUAAAUUUUAUUUAGUAUACAUGUUUCCAUGUUCCAUGUUAUAAUUAACACUUAUUCAAAUUGUUGUUUAGUUUCUCUCCGAGUAGGCCAGCUGCACAGUUGUAAACAUGUGAUUCAACAAAUGUAUAAAAAAGCUUGGAAGCAUUCAAAGAACUUUCCAAGGAUGAGAAAGAUGAAUGGUUUGAUAAAUUUAAGGUAAAAUAAAUUUUAUUGUUGUUAUUUUAAUUAGUUAUUUUAUUGUAAUAUAUUAUCUAACACUUAUCUAACAAUUUUUUUGAAUGUCAUACAACAUUGUAGGAAAAGUGUACGUGGAAUUGUAAUGGAUGAAUAUAUGUUAGAAAAAUUAUCGGGGAAACAUCUGUCGACUUUCUGACAUGCUUAGGCUGUCAGACUUGAUUGGCAAGAACGAAAUAUUCGUCCCAACUGGAUAGGCAAGGAAGUAUUUGACGAACUUCUUGCCUAUUGGGCUUACGAUAAUUUAAAGCUAAAUCUCAAAAAGGCAAAAGACAUGAGAGCAUCCGAAAGGGGGGUUGCCUUAAUGCUACAGGAAUGUAUAAGCAUUGGAGAACAUGCAAAACGAAUGGUAAAAAUUAUAACUACGGUUUAAAAUUAUAUUUUGAUUUAUUAUGUGUUUAAUUAAAUUUAUUUAUAUUAAUCAGACACAGGCACAAGGAAGACCCCCGACUUAAUGAGUUGUUUGUGAAGACCCGCUACAAAAAAAUCGGGGGAUUUGGUUGAUGAUCGGUCAGAGAAGAACUAUAGUAAGUUGUUUCUAUUUUAUUUUUUUUGUUAAAAUUCUAUCAAUUUUUGUGCGCGUGAAUUUCACGUGGGUAAUAAGUUUUGGCAUGAAUUUCAUGUGGCAACAAUAUAUGUGGGAUUCUUUUCAUGUCACAACUGUAUCUAAUUAUUUAUUUGUUGUUAUGUGUAGGAGAGUAUCAAAGAUUGCUCACACAAUUUCUAGUUGAAAAUCCUCAAUAUACACCUGUUGGUUCUAAUCCGCUUGAUUCCACGCGUGGAUAUGUAUAUCUGGAGCUUAGUCACUGGAGGGAAGGGACGUAAUGGUGUUUUUUUGGUGUUGUCCUUUGGCUGGCAACUACAGAACCGGAGAUGAACUUAUUUGAUAGAGUUGCAAGUGGGGAAGGAACGUCCGUCCAACACAAUUGACACUGAAAUGAUGGAAACGGUGAGGCAACUGGCUCUAACAGAGGCUAGACGAGGAGACGGCGAGCGUGAGGCGCGUUAAGGCAUUAGAGGAAAUGAAAAGACAACACGAUUUGGAGGAGCAAAUGAGACAAUUUAUGCAGUCAUGAGUGAAAUCAAAAUCAAGAACAAGUGAAGCGAUGUAGAUGACGACGAAUUGAUGUGUAUAUUUAUUUAGUUUUAAAUAUUAAUUUUGUAUAAAUAAUUAACUUUUGCUAUUUUUAUAAUACAUUUCAUAUGUGUAAUUUUAAUUUAAAAAUAUUUCACUUAAUUAUUAUUUCUAUAUUUUAUUAUUUAUUAAUUAUUUUAUCUUUUAUUAAUAAUAUAAUUUAAUAAUAACAAUAUAUUUAUCUUAUUAUUAAUUUUGUUUUUAAGUUGUGAAGUUGUAAAUCACGUGGUAAUUUGCCACGUGAUUUUCAUUUGGCAAACAAUACAUCCAUUUCAAAUGUUGUGACGUGAUAUUUCAUGUGGCAAAGUCUGGUCAUUGAAUUUCACGCGGCAAAGUAAGCGCAGAAGGAAGGUAAAUUUCAAAAUUUGCGACGUGAUUGGCCUUUGCAAAUUAGCGACGUGUUUAUCACUGUCACAAAAAGUUGCCACACGCGUUCCAGCGACGUGAAUCAACACGUCGCUAUUUUUGACUAGUGAAGUGAUUUUCACCUUUGCCACGUGAUAAUCAUGUGGCAGGGGGGAGUUUUUCUUGUAGUGAGUCAGAGGUUGGCUCAAAAAGGAAUUUUCAAUAAAUGCAUUUUAUUAUUUUUCAAUCAAGUGACAAGUUUUUACAAUCAAUUGAAAACUUGAAAUACAAUCGAUUUUAAGUUUAAAAAUAGGAAAGAAAAUAUAUUUAUUUGUUGCACAUUAUAAAGGUGUUGUCCCAAUCGUAUGUGGCUCAAUUUUCAACUAAUCUAAUCUAUUGGGAAAAUGCUCCAAAUGCUCCAAUCGAUUGGAGAAGUCAAAAUUUUGCCUAUAGCUAUUUUGACAACUCCUAAUUCAUCUAGAACAACUUUAAAAAAAUUUAAGGAUAUUUUCUUUAGUAAAAACUAUUUUGAAAAAUAUUUGUGUGUGUAUGUGCGCUUUUAGAUAUGCGUUUUUACGAUAAAACUUUUUUGCUUUACAAUUCAUUCAAUCACUACUAAAAUAAAAGGUAUCAUACUACUUCAAGACUUUGCCUAAACUUUCUCUUAUGUGAGCAUUUGCAUAAGUUGUGAGAUGAAACUUUAACUUAUACUCCAUUUAGAUUGUCUUCAUCGAAUAAUCAAGUCCAUCAAACCUUAGGUUUUCUUCUUUAUCCACUUAUCCAUCCAUGCCUGGUUAGCCUACAUAAAAGCCUAUUUAUUUUAAACAUAUGUAAAUAGGUCAUUCAAAUAAUGUUUAAAUAGACUAACAAACUAAAAGACCAAUGAGACUAAAUGUUUGCAUUGACUUAUAACUUACAUAUUAUCAUAAGUUUUGUGAGACUAUUUAUUUAAGAGAACUUAUGAAAAUAACUUAUGACAAUGUUCAUAAGGUUUUUCAUCUUAUUUUCAUAAGUUCUCCAAGAUAACCAAAUUUUAUUUAUGUAUUUUAAUUCAAAGUGCAAAACAUAACAUAAUGAUAAUAAAAAAAAUAUUUAUACUAUUUAAAUAGACCGGUUUGAUAGGGUUAAAAGGUUUUUUAUGGUCUGAGAGGCGUAGACAUUUUAACUAAAUAGCCUUAUUAAAAAGCCUAGAGCUUGACGUCCUCUUGUCACUAUUAUAGGCAAAAAAAUAAUAUUAGAUUCAUUGAAUAAUUUGUUAAAUGCAAUUAAAUUUUUGCUAUUACGUGCUAGUUUUCCAAAAAUAACAGAAUUUAAUUGUUGGGUCACUGUAGUUGUAUUUUGAGUUGUAUUUUUUGUUAUUCUCUCAAUGUAUAAAUACUCUUGUAAUAUUUCCAAUUCGAAUUAAUGCCAAAUUUACUAUUCAUCCAAUAUCAUUUUGUUCUCUCUAAUUCUCUCUCAACUUCAUCUUCCCCAAUUUCUUAUCUUCCACCAUUAUCAAACCUUCAAUUUGAGUCUUUAUGUUCUAACAUUUGGCAUCAAGAGCUUUGGUUGUUGAUCCUAAUCCGCAGCAACAAUGGCAACCGUUUCCAAUGUCCGAAUUCCCACCAAUCUCCCGAUUCUUGAUUCGAAGAACUAUGAUAAAUGGGUGAAACAAAUGAAGGUCUUGUUUGGUUAUCAAGAGGUGCUUGAGAUCGUCGUCAAUGGAGUUACACAAUUAGGGGCAGAGGCUACCGAAAUUCAAAGAGCUACACACAAAGAAGAGAAGAAGAAGAAGGAUUACAAAGUCAUAUUCUUGAUUCAUUCGUGUGUUGAUAACGACAACUUCGAGAAGGUCGGCGAUUGUGAAUCGGCAAAGCAAGCAUGGGAAAUCUUGGAGAAAGCAUAUGUCGGUGCCGUCAAAGCGAAGGUUGUAAGGUUACAAACUUACAAGCGACAGUUCGAGUUAACACAAAUGGAAGAUAAAGAAACGAUCAACGACUAUAUUACACGUAUUACCCGGUUAGUUAAUCAAAUCAAAUCUUGUGGGGAAACGAUUCUUAAGAAGAAUGUUGUAUCCAAAGUAUUGCAUUCGUUAACGUCGCGUUUCGACAACUUAGUUGUGGCUAUUGAAGAAUCAAAAGAUCUAACAACUUUGAGCAAGGAUGAAUUGUAAAGUUCGUUAGAGGCACAUGAACAAAGGAUGGAUGAGAGAGGCGCCGACAAAGCCAAAGUGGAGAUUGCUUUGCAAGCGCAUUUCAAUGAAAAGAAUAAGAGGUCGAAAGGAAAAUUUGCGGCGAGAGGUAAAUCAAAUUUUCAGAAUUUUGGUUCAAACGAUUCGCAAAAUUCAAAGCAUUCGACGAGUGAAAAAGGGUGAAAGUAGCUCCAAGGAUAGUGGUCAUAGAAAUGGUUUUAAGAAGCGUGAUAUGAGUAAGGUGCAAUGCUACAAGUGUAGAAAGUUUGGACACUUUGCAAAUUCGUGUCGUGGUAAAUCGAAUGAGAAUCAUAAUAAUGAAGCCAAGGUUGUUAGGGAAGAGGUAGAUGAUGAGGACACACUUCUAGUAAUGAUCACGGAGGAGAGUUAUGGAAAUACGGAUGUUCCGGGCAGCAACUACAGUAGUGACAGUUUGCGGGACAACAACUGUACCGUUCCGGAAAAUAGCGAGAAAACGCAUUCGGAUCGAAGUGCAUUGGUUACCGUUCGUGAUGGAGUCCAAGGGAGAGAUGAGUGGUACUUGGAUUCCGGUUGUUCAACACAUAUGACGGGUCGAAAAGAUUGGUUUGUGCAAAUCAAUCAAGCGGCAAAAAGUAAAGUCAAAUUUGUCGACGACACCACUUUAAGCGCCGAAGGGGUAGGAGAUGUUUUGAUCGGAAAAAGGAAUGGUGGACAUUCAAGGAUCAAAGAUGUCUUGUAUAUACCGGGAAUUAAGUGUAAUCUUUUAAGCAUUGGCCAAUUACUUGAAAGAGGAUACAAAAUUCGUUUGGAGGAUAAGAUUUUACGCGUUUUGGAUUCAAAUGGUGUGUUGAUUCUAAAAGCGCCGAUGGCUGCCAAUAGAACCUUUAAGGUUGAGUUAAAGGUUAUGAGCAUCGUUGUCUAGCUUUUGCGGCAAGUAGAGAUGAGUGGUUAUGGCAUUACCGUCUUGGUCACCUUAAUUUUAGGGAUCUAAGAAUGUUGCAACAAAGUGAAAUGGUAAUGGGGUUGCCACACAUUAAUAUUCCAACUGAAUUGUGUGAGGAAUGUGUGAAAGCUAAACAACACAAGAAUGUGUUUAGCAAAGAUGCGGGUCGAAGAACCAAAGGCUUACUUGAGGUGGUACGUUCCGACGUUUGCGGACCGAUGCAAGUAGAGACUUAUGGUGGAAAUCGAUAUUUUGUUACGUUCAUUGACGAUUUUAGUAGGAAGCUUUGGACAUAUCUUAUCAAGAGAAAAGAUGAGGUAUUUGGUGCGGACCGAUGCAAGUAGAGACUUAUGGUGGAAAUCGAUAUUUUGUUACGUUCAUUGACGAUUUUAGUAGGAAGCUUUGGACAUAUCUUAUCAAGAGAAAAGAUGAGGUAUUUGGAGUUUUCAAGAACUUCAAAUCCAUGGUGGAGCUCUAAAGCGGUCAGAAGCUCAAAAUUCUCAAAACGGGUGGUGGAGGUGAGUAUACCUCUAGUGAGUUUGGGAAGCUUUGUGAUCUUGAGGGAAUUGUACGUGAGGUGGUGCCUCCGUAUACGCCUCAACAAAAUGGGGGUGCCGAGAGGAAAAAUCGUACAAUAAUGAACAUGGUGCAUAGUAUGCUUUGUGGGAAAAUUUUGCCUAAGGAAUUGUGGGGUGAGGUCGUGUCUACAGCCACCUACUUGUUG
rnacentral:lncRNA from 1 species